GUGAUCCAGAAAUUGAAUGCAGAAGGCAGAUUGGAGAAGAAAGAAGCAAAGAAGGGGAGUUAUUUUGACAAGAAUGAGCUUUCAGCUAUCUUGAGAUUUGGAGCAGAGGAACUUUUUAAAGAAGAGAAGAAUGAAGAAGAAUGUAAGAAAAGGCUCUUGAGUAUGGAUAUUGACGAAUUUAAUUUAAACUUUAUAUGCUUACAGGUGGAAACUAGCUUAAGUCUUAUGUUCUUAAUAAUAAAAAGACUGUUUUUUUACAAUGUGUAGGUAUAUUGAGAUGAUUUCUUUGGAGCAAUUCUUGACAACAUUUGUAGUUGAGGCCUUUAGAAUGGAAGAAUGUAUUUCACUAAUUUUUGUAUACAUUUCUUGUUUUGUAUUUAGUGAUAAAGGAAUCUGAAUUGGGCAUAAAUUAUGUUGUAAUAUGAUUUCUUAAACCUAGACUAGUAGACUAAAUAUUGUAAUUACAUUUGAGUAAUUAAUAAAAAUCUAUUUAUGUUACCUUA